GAGGUGGGCACAUACAUUGAAUUAAAACUACAGGCAGACAGGUGACGUCAAGGAUAACGACAUUUAUACCUCUCAAGGUUGCUGACAAUUGCAUGGAAAUCUAGCCGUGAAUCAGUGACGGAGGUUUGCAACUUUGUGAACAUCUAUAGUCAGUUUACCGGUAGUGUUUGCUGUCGUUUACCGUCAUCGCAUACCGUUUACGACAGUUAACCGUCAUUGCAGACCGCUUACCAGCGUUUACCAACACGUUUACCACUGGUGAUAGCUACAAAGGAUCAACUGCACACAUCUUGUGCGAUCAGAGUAUACGGACAGAGUCAUGGCAGGGGGAGGGCAAUAUCGGUUGGUCAUACAUACUGUCAUCACCGUGUGGUUUAUAUUCGGGAUGCAGAUGGCAAGUUGUGUUUCGAAUGGUAAGUGAU